rnacentral:rRNA from 1 species
UUCCGUAAUGAUGGCGGAAGGGCCACACCUGUUCCCAUACCGAACACAGAAGUAAAGUCUUCCAGCGCCGAAAGUACUUGGUGGGCAACUGCCUGGGAUCCCAUACCGAAC